GACGAACGCUGGCGGCGUGCUUAACACAUGCAAGUCGAACGGAAAGGCCCUGCUUUUGUGGGGUGCUCGAGUGGCGAACGGGUGAGUAACACGUGAGUAACCUGCCCUUUACUUUGGGAUAACUUCAGGAAACUGGGGCUAAUACCGGAUAGGAUCUCCUGCUGCAUGGUGGGGGUUGGAAAGUUUCGGCGGUUGGGGAUGGACUCGCGGCUUAUCAGCUUGUUGGUGGGGUAGUGGCUUACCAAGGCUUUGACGGGUAGCCGGCCUGAGAGGGUGAACGGCCACAAUGGGACUGAGAGACGGACCAGACUCCUACGGGAGGCAGCAGUGGGGAAUAUUGCAAAAUGGGCGGAAGCCUGAUGCAGAAACGCAGCGUGCGGGAUGACGGCCUACGGGUUGUAAACCGCUUUCGCAUGUGACGAAGCGUGAGUGACGGUAAUGGGUAAAGAAGCACCGGCUAACUACGUG
rnacentral:rRNA from 1 species